rnacentral:lncRNA from 1 species
AUGCCUCCCCCCCACACACACACACACUCCCCGUCCCCACCUCGGCGCCGCUCCCCGGCGAGGCGGGAGGACACAAAGGCGGCGAGGCGCGGGCGGGCGCCGAGCAGGCCCCGCGCCGCCCGGGGACCUGCCACAACAUGGCCCCCUCCCUCCGCUCCCCUCCUCUGCUUCUCCCCUCCCUCGGCGCGCAGCCGAGCCCGGAGACAAAAGGGGGCUGGAGGAAGGGAGGGGGGUGGGUUGGGAGAAGGAGAAGGAAAAAGGAGGGGGAUUGAGGAGGAGAAGGGAGGGAGUGGGGGGGGGGGGGGGAAGCGAAGCAGCGCGGCCGCGGCUCUUCCACCCCUUCCCCCGCGGGUACUCACGGGCUGGCUGGCGGCGCUGCUCGCUGCGAUGGAGCCGGAGCGGGCCCUGGGACACCCCCGCCCUCCUUCCUCCUCCUCCUUCCUCCUCCUUCUUCUUCCUCCCUCCUCCUCCUCCUCCUCCUCCUCCUCCUCCUCCUCUCGGCGCCUUCUCCUUCCUGCCGCCUCCCCACCCCCCCCUCGGCCGCGGCGAGGGGCUCACAACAACAUGGCGGGAGGGCGAGCCCGGAGGGAGAGGAGGGAGAGGGACAGCGAGAGCGCGGCAAACCUCCCUCCCCCCCUUCCUCCUCCUCCUCCUCCUUCUCUUCCUCCUCCUCCUCCUCCUCCUCCUCCUCGCCGCCUCUCUCCCCAGCGCAUGCGCUCCCCAGCACCGGGAGGGAGGCGGUGGCGGCCCCCGGCUCCUUCCGCCGCUCAGGGCGCCUGCGCCGCCAUCUCGCCGUCCCCUUCUCCUUCCCCUUCUCCUCCCUCACGCCCCCCCCCUCAGCAUCCACCCGGGGCUGGCCGGGGUUUGGGGGACAAAAGGGUGGGCGAAAAGGUGAUGGGCGGCUUCCCCGGGUUUCGCCCCAAGCGCGGUUCGCGGGGCGGGUCACGUUUCGUUUGUUUGUUUGUUUUUUUUUACAAUAAAAAGAAAGGCAUGGCCGGAGUUAUUAAUAAAGUAACGCGCCAGUAG